rnacentral:lncRNA from 1 species
AUCGGACUGGAAGGCAUCGAGGAUAACAGCAAUGUGUUGCCCAUUUCUUGUUCUCCAACUGUGUCUUCAUAGACACUGCUUGUGCCAUAGCAAUCGGAUGAAAACUGCAAGGACAGACAUUCAAAAUGUGUCCAUGCAGUUACAUCCACAGCCUUCAACACUUGGCAUGAACAUAGCUGUGGUGUUUCUGGACAUAGCUGUGGCAUUUCUGGACUCGUGUUGACAAGGCUAAGAUGAGGCAGCACAAGUCGUGCAGCACGUACAGUGCACUAAGAUAGGGGGUCGUCAAGAUAGAGGGCAGUUUGGUCUCAGCUUUGCUCAAGUGUAAACGAUAUAUGAGCAGCAACUAUUUUUUCCCUACGUUUCUUAUUAGAUUUUUAAACCAAGAUUAGGUGUUUUUAUUUAAGUGGAAGCAUGUUUGUUGCAAAUGG